GUAGGUGAACCUGCGGAAGGAUCAUUAACACUUUAUUUCAAUACAAACCUAGGCGCUCCCUGCUUGGCCACGGCUGAACACCGUUGGUUCGCUUAUUUCGAUAAGCCUCGUGGGGGAAAUAUACGUAUCUGAUUGCGGUGAAGGUUGAUAGAUCGGGCUGAAUUCCUUCGUGGGAUUGGUCUAUCAGCGUCUACUCUGGUGUCUCGGCAUAGGAGUGGAGACUUCAUUCUUUCAGAAAUCAGCCCCAACCCGGCUGGCCCUUUUUUUUCACUUGAUUAAUCUACUGAUUUGGGCUUUUCAGAUUGAGAGGAGAAAUCCUUUCUCUGGAGUCCUUAUGGAGAAAUCCAUUAAAUAACAAAACACAACUCUUAACAGCGGAUAUCUCGGUUCUC
rnacentral:misc_RNA from 1 species